rnacentral:rRNA from 1 species
UACGGGGGGAGCAAGCGUUGUUCGGAUUUACUGGGCGUAAAGGGCGCGUAGGCGGCCAGCGCAAGUCAGUUGUGAAAUCUCCGGGCUUAACUCGGAACGGUCAACUGAUACUGCGCGGCUAGAGUGCAGAAGGGGCAACUGGAAUUCUCGGUGUAGCGGUGAAAUGCGUAGAUAUCGAGAGGAACACCUGCGGCGAAGGCGGGUUGCUGGGCUGAUACUGACGCUGAGGCGCGAAAGCCAGGGGAGCGAACGGG